AUGAACGCUGGCGGCGUGCCUAAUACAUGCAAGUCGAACGAAUCUCUUUUAGAGAUGAGUGGCGAACGGGUGAGUAAUACAUAGGUAACCUGCCCCUGUGCGGGGGAUAACAGGAGGAAACUCCUGCUAAUACCGCAUAGCCAUGAGCACCGCAUGGAGCUCAUGCCAAAUAUCCUUUCGGGGAUAGCGCAGGGAUGGACCUAUGGCGCAUUAGCUUGUUGGCGGGGCAACGGCCCACCAAGGCAACGAUGCGUAGCCGGCCUGAGAGGGCGGACGGCCACAUUGGGACUGAGACACGGCCCAGACUCCUACGGGAGGCAGCAGUAGGGAAUUUUCGGCAAUGGGGGAAACCCUGACCGAGCAACGCCGCGUGAGCGAAGAAGGCCUUCGGGUCGUAAAGCUCUGUUGUAAAGGAAGAACGGCGCAUACAGGAAAUGGUAUGCGAGUGACGGUACUUUACCAGAAAGCCACGGCUAACUACGUGCCAGCAGCCGCGGUAAUACGUAGGUGGCGAGCGUUAUCCGGAAUCAUUGGGCGUAAAGAGGGAGCAGGCGGCCGCAAGGGUCUGUGGUGAAAGACCGAAGCUAAACUUCGGUAAGCCAUGGAAACCGGGCGGCUAGAGUGCGGAAGAGGAUCGUGGAAUUCCAUGUGUAGCGGUGAAAUGCGUAGAUAUAUGGAGGAACACCAGUGGCGAAGGCGACGGUCUGGGCCGCAACUGACGCUCAUUCCCGAAAGCGUGGGGAGCAAAUAGGAUUAGAUACCCUAGUAGUCCACGCCGUAAACGAUGGUCACUAAGUGUCGGGGGUCAAACCCCGGUGCUGCAGUCAACGCAAUAAGUGACCCGCCUGAGUAGUACGUUCGCAAGAAUGAAACUCAAAGGAAUUGACGGAAGG
rnacentral:rRNA from 1 species